CAGAGUACAAGCCUUUACUCUGGGAACCAUUGCCAAGGAGAUGAUUAUUCAUUAAUGAUAUAAUCUUUGACCUGGAAGCCCUGUGCUCUGAGCACAGCCUGUGAAGCAACAGGGCCCUGGGGACAACCACACGUGUGUUCGAAGUCCAGCGCUGCAGGGAGGUGAGGGGUGCUGACACCAGGUUUUGAAUGGGCUGAGUGGUUUAAAUGAAAAGAGCAGCCAGUCACUGAAGAAAGAGUGAAUAACUCUCUCUGCCCGCCUGCUUUAGUGAGG
rnacentral:lncRNA from 1 species